UAUUGUUUGAAUAGCCUAUAAUCCAGAAUACUAUAUUAAAUUUCCUGAGAUAUAAAUAUGAGUAACUGGUUACACUUUGAGACAACAGUUCUUUAUAGUAAUGCUUAUUACCUUCUUGUUUAUUAUUUCAUGUGUAUCAUUUUAUCCCUAGGAUUUAUUUGGCAGCUAAGUAAAAUCAGUAAAAGGUCUGGGAGUUGGUGUGGGAAAGAUCAUGCCAAUAAUACAUAGGUUGAGAACUGUCAGACAUCAGCCGCCAGCCCCUCGCUGUUGUGUGCAAGUCCUCCGGAAUGCUUUGGAAAAACCUCGGGCCCUGGCCCAAUCUCAGAGCAACUGAGACUGGCAUCUGAAGCUCCUCAGGUGAUUCUAAAGUGCAGCCAAGUUUGCAAACAGCUGUUACUGCCUAAAAGCCUCCAGAACAUUCUCCUCUGCUUUGCAUGAAAUAGAAGAGAUGAAAAAUGCCAAGCCACAAGAUUAGCCCCCUUCGAGACUCCUGGCAUCCUAACUGGGGAUCAUGGAUUGGUUAAAUAAUCAUACUCUCUUCCGUGGGUUAAAUGGAAGCAUGAAGUCAUCUCAAACUAAAGCUGAGUCACAGACAUACUGACGGGAAGAUCCCCCAAGUCUGAGUGGUAAAGUAAAUGAAGUGGGAAAAAAUGUGUAAAGACACCAUUGUGAACCAGAAACCAUUUCUGUUUUGAAGAGUUUAAGAAGACUGCAUUACUUUGGACGCCUCUAAGUGUGAGGGCGUGAUCAUUUAGAUGAAGUCUAGCCUCAAGUAUACGAUUACAGCUUAAAGUCGAGCCGCAUAUGCAAACUCUCCCAAAGACGUGUGAGAAACUAAGGCAUCCACCUACGUGUAAUUCAUGUGUUUGAUUUUUAGAGACUAAACUGUGUACCAAUGUAACUGCCCUCCUGUACACACCCAUUGCUAACAAGCUAUUUCGUGGUCUGGAUUUAGUUGUGUUGAAGCUGGGAGGAGGAUCUCCUUUUGUUAAUCAAAUGAUGGAAAUCAUCGCCUAAAAAUGACUCCCCACUUCCCAAGUUGUGUUCAACUUAUACUGAAAGCCCUGUGACUUGGUUGAAUCACUCACCACAGUCAUUUCCUUAUCUCAAGUCUGUGACCAGUGAUUUAUCAAAUCAAGUCACUCCCCUCUGUCAACCUUCGGUGGCUUUACACUUCCCCACCUAUCAUAAAGCAAGUGGCGGUUUCCCAAAGGGCCCUGCAUCACUCUGGUCCUAUUUUAAAUUAGCGUAUUCCUUUCCUUCAUAGGCCUCUUCCUCAGAAAGAGGAUGCCCUGAUCCUCCAUCUAAAAUAUUUCCCACCCAUCAAGUCAUUUUCUCCUUCUUCUGCGCAUGAAAUACCAUCAGAAGUAGAAAUAAAAUUUGUUAAUGAUAAGUUCUAAAAGGCAAAGAUUUUGUGUGUCA